AUGGGAACGCGAAGAACCUUACCUACUCUUGACAUCCAGAGAACUUAGCAGAGAUGCUUUGGCGCCUUCGGGAACUCUGAGACAGGUGCUGCAUGGCUGUCGUCAGCUCGUGUUGUGAAAUGUUGGGUUAAGUCCCGCAACGAGCGCAACCCUUAUCCUUUGUUGCCAGCGGUUAGGCCGGGAACUCAAAGGAGACUGCCAGUGAUAAACUGGAGGAAGGUGGGGAUGACGUCAAGUCAUCAUGGCCCUUACGAGUAGGGCUACACACGUGCUACAAUGGCGCAUACAAAGAGAAGCGACCUCGCGAGAGCAAGCGGACCUCAUAAAGUGCGUCGUAGUCCGGAUUGGAGUCUGCAACUCGACUCCAUGAAGUCGGAAUCGCUAGUAAUCGUAGAUCAGAAUGCUACGGUGAAUACGUUCCCGGGUCUUGUACACACCG
rnacentral:rRNA from 1 species